GUGCCUAACACAUGCAAGUCGAACGGUAGCAGGCCUAGUUUACUAGGUGCUGACGAGUGGCGGACGGCUGAGUAACGCGUGGGAAUGUGCCCUAAAGUGAGGGAUAACGCACCGAAAGGUGUGCUAAUACCGCAUAUGGUCUUCGGAUUAAAGAAUUUAUUCGCUUUAGGAGCAGCCCGCGUCGGAUUAGGUAGUUGGUGAGGUAAAGGCUCACCAAGCCCACGAUCCGUAGCUGGUCUGAGAGGAUGACCAGCCAGACUGGAACUGAGACACGGUCCAGACUCCUACGGGAGGCAGCAGUGAGGAAUCUUCCACAAUGGGCGAAAGCCUGAUGGAGCAACGCCGCGUGCAGGAUGAAGGCCUUCGGGUUGUAAACUGCUUUUAUAAGUGAGGAAUAUGACGGUAACUUAUGAAUAAGGAUCGGCUAACUACGUGCCAGCAGCCGCGGUCAUACGUAGGAUCCAAGCGUUAUCCGGAGUGACUGGGCGUAAAGAGUUGCGUAGGUGGUUUGUUAAGUAGAUAGU
rnacentral:rRNA from 1 species